rnacentral:tRNA from 1 species
CAGAGCGUAGCUAAACUAGCAUAGCACCUCCCUUACACCGAGAAGAUACCCGUGCAAAUCGGGUCGCACUGAC